GGGAGGGGGUGACUAGUGACAGAGGGAGGGAGAUGGUGAUGUCACUAGUCACCCCAUCCCUCCCUCUGUCACUAGUCACUCCCUCCCA